rnacentral:rRNA from 1 species
GAUGAACGCUGGCGGCGUGCUUAACACAUGCAAGUCGAACGGAAAGGCCUCUGCUUGCAGGGGUACUCGAGUGGCGAACGGGUGAGUAACACGUGGGUGAUCUGCCCUGCACUUCGGGAUAAGCCUGGGAAACUGGGUCUAAUACCGGAUAGGACAAUGGUUUGGAUGCUGUUGUGGAAAGUUUUUCGGUGUGGGAUGAGCUCACGGCCUAUCAGCUUGUUGGUGGGGUAAUGGCCUACCAAGGCGUCGACGGGUAGCCGGCCUGAGAGGGUGUACGGCCACAUUGGGACUGAGAUACGGCCCAGACUCCUACGGGAGGCAGCAGUGGGGAAUAUUGCACAAUGGGCGCAAGCCUGAUGCAGCGACGCCGCGUGGGGGAUGACGGCCUUCGGGUUGUAAACUCCUUUCGCUAGGGACGAAGCGUUUUUGUGACGGUACCUGGAGAAGAAGCACCGGCUAACUACGUG